AUACGUAGGUGGCAAGCGUUGUCCGGACUUACUGGGUGUAAAGGGCGUGUAGGCGGGGGUGCCAGCCAGAUGUGAAAUUCCGGGGCUCAAACCCGGCACUGUAUCUGCAACUGCGUCUCUUUAGUGCUGGAGAGGAAAGCGGAAAUCCUAGUUUAGCGGUGUAAUGCGUGGAUAUUAGGAGGAACACCAAUGGAGAAGUCGGCUUUCUGGACAGUAACUGACGCUGAGGCGCGAAAGCGUGGGUAGCGAACAGGAUUAGAUACCCUGGUAGCCCACGCCGUAAACGAUGGAUACUAGGUGUAGGAGGUAUCGACCCCUUCUGUGCCGGAGUUAACACUAUAAGUAUCCCACCUGGGGAGUACGGCCGCAAGGUUGAAACUCAAAUGAAUUGACGGGG
rnacentral:rRNA from 1 species